rnacentral:rRNA from 2 species
UUCACGGAGAGUUUGAUCCUGGCUCAGGACGAACGCUGGCGGCGUGCUUAACACAUGCAAGUCGAACGAUGAAGCCUUCGGGUGGAUUAG